CCAAGGAAGCCAUCACUCGUGCUCUUUGCAUUCUCGCCUCUAUCAGACCUUUGAUCUUUUGGGGCAAGGAGAGAGAAGAGGCUAAAGCUCCUGCUGAGGUCCAUUCCGUCCAGCUCUCCAGCUUAAGCAGAAAUGUUGCAAAUGGCAGUGUACACUGACUUAAGAUGCUUUCUCUUAUCUACCCAAAUCCAAACAUGUGAUGUGGAUGGACGUUUACAGCUGAGAGCAACGACCUCACAGGUGGCUACUGGCCAUUCUCCUGGGUCCACUCAAAAGCCUGUGGAUUCCCACAAGCAGCCUAGGUGGAGUGGGUCUAUGGGUUGCAUAGAUGCAUCAAGAUCCAAACUGGUCCUUUGGUCCCCCACCCCCGAGACAUUUAGUCAUGCACAUUUCACAUAGCUCUAAACCUUAAAUGCCUCAUGAGUCUUUUAAAUUGUCUAUUAAGGUCAGUAGUCUCUCUACAUUUUAGGUGUUUUGUUUUCUUUUGUUUUUUGAACAGAAGUUUUGUAGAGAGGACUUGGGUGGACAAACCCAGAUACCAGGGAAGGCAUUGUGACAUUUGUGUAUAUUGUCAGUUCAGGGCAACAAGGGGAACCUGGGGUGUGGGAGGUGAGGGCUUUCCCUUACACCUCUCAAGACAAAUGAAUUACAUGAAUGUUUCAAGAUUUGGUGUUCCUAACUCCCAAGUACAUAAAUAUCACUAGCUCCACUUUUCCAAGGUGGAUAUGAGAUAUGUGGGGUAGCAAAGUUUCACUUUCAAAGUUUACUGGAGAAAAAGAAUUCUUGUUCUUGUUAUUGUUAAAAGUCAGCUCUCAGGGAACCUGGUGUGGAGAGAGGGUCUUAAGACUGUUACCACCUCGCUUUACAUUCUAACGCACAGCAGUUUGAUUCGUGUCUGCGCUUCUUCAAUGAAGUUUUAAGUAGUUGUCCAAAGCUAAUUCAUUGUGUUACUUGGCCCUUUUUUACAUGUUUUUACAUGCUAAGUAUUAGUUGUAAGGCACUGUUUGCUCAGCAGGAGAAGCUCACUGUCCUUAGGGCUGGGGGGUUAGUUUUAAGAGGUAAGGACACAGCAUGAACUUGGGCAGAUGUCAAACAAGCCAUGUUUUAUUACAGAAUCAGUGG
rnacentral:lncRNA from 1 species